rnacentral:rRNA from 1 species
ACAGAGGGGGCAAGCGUUAUUCGGAAUUAUUGGGCGUAAAGGGCGCGUAGGCGGUUUGUUAAGUCGGUUGUGAAAGCCCGGGGCUCAACCCCGGAGGGUCGGCCGAUACUGGCAGGCUAGAGUACAGAAGAGGUAGCUGGAAUUCCCGGUGUAGCGGUGAAAUGCGUAGAUAUCAGGAGGAACACCGGUGGCGAAGGCGGGUCUCUGGGCCGAUACUGACGCUGAGGAGCGAAAGCGUGGGGAGCGAACAGGA